UACGUAGGGGGCAAGCGUUGUCCGGAAUCAUUGGGCGUAAAGCGCGCGUAGGUGGCUCUAUAAGUCCGUUGUGAAAGUCAAAGGCUCAACCUUUGAAAGCCGGUGGAUACUGCAUGGCUAGAGUACGGAAGAGGCGAGUGGAAUUCCUGGUGUAGCGGUGGAAUGCGCAGAUAUCAGGAGGAACACCAAUAGCGAAGGCAGCUCGCUGGGACGUUACUGACACUGAGGCGCGAAAGCGUGGGGAGCGAACAGG
rnacentral:rRNA from 1 species